UACGUAGGGGCCGAGCGUUGUCCGGAGUUAUUGGGCGUAAAGCGCGCGCAGGCGGCUUCGCGCGCCCGACGUGAAAGCCCCCGGCUUAACCGGGGAGAGUCGUUGGGGACGGCGGAGCUUGAGGGCGGGAGAGGUCGGUGGAAUUCCCGGUGUAGUGGUGAAAUGCGUAGAGAUCGGGAGGAACACCUGUGGCGAAGGCGGCCGACUGGGCCGACCCUGA
rnacentral:rRNA from 1 species